rnacentral:rRNA from 1 species
AUUGAACGCUGGCGGCAUGCUUUACACAUGCAAGUCGAACGGUAGCGCGGGCUUCGGCCUGGCGGCGAGUGGCGAACGGGUGAGUAAUGCAUCUGAACGUGCCCAGUAGUGGGGGAUAGCCCGGCGAAAGCGGGAUUAAUACCGCAUACGACCUGAGGGUGAAAGCGGGGGACCGAAAGGCCUCGCGCUAUUGGAGCGGCCGAUGUCGGAUUAGCUAGUUGGUGGGGUAAAGGCUUACCAAGGCGGCUAUCCGUAGCUGGUCUGAGAGGACGACCAGCCACACUGGGACUGAGACACGGCCCAGACUCCUACGGGAGGCAGCAGUGGGGAAUUUUGGACAAUGGGGGCAACCCUGAUCCAGCCAUGCCGCGUGCGGGAAGAAGGCCUUCGGGUUGUAGACCGCUUUUGUUCGGGAAGAAAUCCUCUGGGCUAAUACCCCGGGGUGAUGACGGUACCGGAAGAAUAAGCACCGGCUAACUACGUG